rnacentral:rRNA from 1 species
ACACGACUACAUUAGAUACCCGCGUAGUCCUAGCCGUAAACGAUACUCGCUAGGUGUCGGCCACGGUGCGACCGUUGUCGGUGCCGUAGGGAAGCCGUGAAGCGAGCCACCUGGGAAGUACGGCCGCAAGGCUGAAACUUAAAGGGAUUGGCGGGGGAGCACCACAACGGGUGGAGCUUGCGGUUUAAUUGGAUUCAACGCCGGAAAUCUUACCGGGACCGACAGCAACAUGAAGGCCAGGCUGAAGACUUUGCCGGAUUAGCUG